GCGCCGUUUGUAUAGUGGUUAUUAUGUCCGCUUCCCAAUUAGGAAAUAUUGAGAAUAGCGGGAGACCCGAGUUCGAACCUCGGACGGCGCA